UACAGAGGGGGCGAGCGUUGUUCGGAAUUACUGGGCGUAAAGGGCGCGUAGGCGGCCUGCUAAGUCAUACGUGAAAUCCCUCGGCUCAACCGAGGAACUGCGUCUGAUACUGGUUGGCUUGAAUUCGGGAGAGGGAUGCGGAAUUCCAGGUGUAGCGGUGAAAUGCGUAGAUAUUGGGAGGAACACCAGUGGCGAAGGCGGCUCACUGGACCGGUUCUGACGCUGAGGCGCGAAAGCGUGGGGAGCAAACGGG
rnacentral:rRNA from 1 species